rnacentral:rRNA from 1 species
UACGUAGGGGGGCAAGCGUUUGUCCGGAUUUAUUGGGCGUAAAGAGCGUGUAGGCGGCCAAGCAGGUCCGCUGUGAAAACUCGAGGCUCAACCUCGAGACGUCGGUGGAAACCGUUUGGCUAGAGUCCGGAAGAGGAGAGUGGAAUUCCCGGUGUAGCGGUGAAAUGCGCAGAUAUCGGGAAGAACACCCGUGGCGAAGGCGGCUCUCUGGGACGGUACUGACGCUGAGACGCGAAAGCGUGGGGGAGCCGAACAGG